rnacentral:rRNA from 1 species
UACGGAGGGGGCAAGCGUUGUUCGGAAUCAUUGGGCGUAAAGGGCGCGUAGGUGGUUCUGUAUGUCUACCGUGAAAGCGUACGGCUCAACCGUAUUUUGUCGGUGGAAACUGCAGGACUCGAGGCUGGGAGGGGCUGGUGGAAUUCCCUGUGUAGCGGUGAAAUGCGUAGAGAUGGGGGAGAACACUCGUGGCGAAGGCGGCCAGCUAGACCAGUUCUGACACUGAGGCGCGACAGCGUGGGGAGCAAACAGG